rnacentral:lncRNA from 1 species
GAGAGGAAAUGGAUUGACAUCCAAGAAUGGCUGAUAUUUCAUCAGAAGUAAACCAAGCACACACAGACCUGAAAGUCACAGAGGAAUGUACAUAUUGUAGAUACUAGACCUUCAGGGUCAUUUUAUUCAUGUAACCUAUUGAUGAAAGGAACUUCUUAAAAGCUAUGAAAAUGCUAACAAGAUACAAUCCUUUCUCCUACCACUUGUCUCUUCAAGUUUUUAGGUUCCGCUGUCCUUUGGUGGCAUGAAGGGUAACUGCUCAUCAACUUCUUUUGAUUGGGUGUAUUCCUAGAUUAACAAAGCAAG